rnacentral:rRNA from 1 species
CAGUCGCCACGGGAAUACGGAGGGUGCAAGCGUUAAUCGGAAUUACUGGGCGUAAAGCGCACGCAGGCGGUCUGACAAGUCAGAUGUGAAAUCCCCGGGCUUAACCUGGGAACUGCAUUUGAAACUGUCAGGCUGGAGUCUUGUAGAGGGGGGUAGAAUUCCAGGUGUAGCGGUGAAAUGCGUAGAGAUCUGGAGGAAUACCGGUGGCGAAGGCGGCCCCCUGGACAAAGACUGACGCUCAGGUGCGAAAGCGUGGGGAGCAAACAGGAUUAGAUACCCGGGUAGUCCCUGUCUCUUAUAC